rnacentral:rRNA from 1 species
AUCUGGGCGGCGGAAUUCAGGAUGGCGGGCGCGUUCGCGCGCGUCGGUCGUUUGAUAUUUCCGUCGCCGAUCACACGCAGACGUCGCGACCUGUUCGCGGUCGGUCCUUGCUCGGAGGAGCCGCGCUCGAGUUCGUUGUGCGUCGCGUUUCGACGCUUCACACGAUGAAGGCGCGGAUCUCUGGCUGGCCGUCGGACAGUACGUUCAACGGUGUCCGGCGUCGUCGUCUUUGUACGCGCGUGCGCCGGUGCCGGUCAGCGACGAAUUCUUCGGGCCUCUUUCCGACCCGUCUUGAAACACGGACCAAGGAGUCUAACAUGCGCGCGAGUCGCGGGGUGUCGAGCGCAUUACGGUGCGCUCGUUACGUUUGCGAAACCCGUACAUGUCGAAGGCGUAAUGAAAGUGAAUGGGGAAGAUGGUGUUCCGAGUUCACGUUCCGCGAUCGCUGGUAUCGCGGCCGGACACCCGCAUUCCCGGGGCGUCUCAACGGCCCGUCGUGUAUGCGGACGGUCGUCAAUUGCGGCGGCCGUCGGUACGCGACGAACCGA